rnacentral:rRNA from 1 species
GACGUAGGUGGCGAACGUUAUCCGGAAUUAUUGGGCGUAAAGGGUGCGUAGGUGGCUUGAAAAGUUAUCAGUGGCAAAUCGAGGCUUAACCUCGCGGAAACUGGUAAUACUGUUUGGCUCGAGUGCAGGAGAGGUUAACGGAACUCUAUGUGGAGCGGUAAAAUGCACAGAUAUAUAGAAGAAGACCAAUAACGGCGAAGGCAGUUAACUAGUCUGUUACUGACACUGAGGCACGAAAGCGUGGGGAGCAAAACGG